UGCGUAGGCGGGGCAAUUAGUCAGUGGUGAAAUCCUGCGGCUUAACCGUAGAACUGCCAUUGAUACUGUUGUCCUUGAGUAUAGUUGAGGUGGGCUGAAUGUGUAAUGUAGCGGUGAAAUGCAUAGAGAUUACACAGAACACCAAUUGCGAAGGCAGCUCACUAAGCUAUAACUGACGCUGAGGCACGAAAGCGUGGGGAGCGAACAGGAUUAGAUACCCUGGUAGUCC
rnacentral:rRNA from 1 species